AGAGACAUAGAGAGAAUCCUCUCCGGAGAAGGCUACUUGACAGGAACUCCAACUUCAGGCUGAAAAAUCCAUCCAGCCCACAGCAACACUACAGGGAGGGAGCUGGGGAAUUAAUGCCCCAACCUCACUCAGUGUCCGCCCUCUGGUUUCCUGUUGGGUCUCCCCAUUGACUGAACCCAGCUGGAAGGCAGGAGAUCCCACUGACAGUCCCCACAGCGCAGGGCAGGGGAAGAAGCUGAGAGAGUGAAUUUGAAGAAGGAAACAGAAAGUGUCCAGCACAGCCACCCCUUUCCCUUGUCCCGAUGAAAAUCAGAGUCCUCAAUACAGAAGACACAACUCCCAUCCGUUACCAUAUUGCACCCACAGCGUUAGACAACCAGUUCUUCAUGUACCACAGUGAGAGGAAGAUGGGGAAAAACAGCAUGUAACGAAGAUGAAAAGGUCCUGACUGUGUAGCUGGUGGUGAUCAGAGCUGCCCUCUCCUACCACCCAUUCUACGUUCUCUUACCACCUGCCAACACCUCCUCGGGACAAUUGGUGUGACACAAAUCUUCAUUCUUAAGGGAAACACUCCAAGGACAAAGUUAGUGGCAGGAGUUGAGCUCUGCUGGAGUAAAGAGAUAAGAUGACCACAUCUAUCACUCCUGAGGCCAGGAAAACCUUCCCUGUCUGCACAUGCGCAGGAAGCCUCCUCAGGGUCAAAAAGGGAAGGGGUGCCACCCCAUAAUAAGUGCUGUCAAACCUCUCAUUAGCCUCUGUGCUGGAAUCCAUCUCGCCAAAAAGAUGUGCACGCCUAUUGGGAAGGGUCCCAGGGCAGGUCAGAUGUGGGAAAAGCAGCGAGAUAAUUGGCUAGAGGAGAAAAACGACCCAGAAGAACUGCUCUCUAUAAAUGAUUUAACAACCUCUUUACUGUGUUCUUCCUCAUGAGGGAGGACGCCCACACCCUUUCUCUCCUGAUGUGUAUUUCUGCCUAGCUUCUGUCUUAUAUAAAUAAACUGUUUCUCUGUGUGCUCUCCCA